GUUCAUCAGCCUUCGCUCUCAGAAUAUGAUGAAUUUGGGGCGUUUACUGAAUUCUGCUACCCAUCACGGUCGCUUACGCUAUCGGCAAUUAUUCGGGAAGUUUUAAAUUAGCUGAGAAUAAAGUACGUGAAGUAUAAUUGAUUGAUCGAUCUGCAGUUUGCUGUUGACUCGAAUUAGCUACUGAGAAGGUGUUACAUUCUUUCACUGCUAGCAACACUUUGAAUUCGAAAUGGUGAGUGAUCUAUCUAAUGUGAAGUUUCCAAUUAAAAGAAUAAACAUCACCUUCAUCUGAAAUACCUGAGGACAAAGAGGAAGGGUAGCUCGUUCAGAAGAAAUAGAGGAAAUGCGAGAACCUAUUCAUGUUAGUUUUACUUUCUUACAACUGAACCGUCUGAAUUCUUUCAUCCGCCAUGGCCUUACUCUGCAACCUCUUCUGAAGCACUUUUGUAGUUCGUGAUUGCUCCAACGAUCAUUUGUCUUAAUGUUCGUUAGUUGGUUGAAACAUUUCUUGCAUCUGCGGCAAAUGUUAUCUUCCAAGUCCAAGGAGCCAUGUUUGGGAUACCAAAGCAGAAAAUUCCUCGCAUUUGAUGGUUUUUGAAUGAGAAUAUAUCGGAAAAGAAUGUUUUUUUAAAAGGACAGUAUUAAUUAUUGGGCAACUAAAGGACAGUGUUUAUAUAUUUCAUAGUAAAAUAUUAAAGAUUAUCAUAACCAAAAAUUAGUAAAACGUUAUAAUUUGUUUUGCAAGGAAUGUCAUAAUUAAAGUUUUAUCUUGAUUCUU